CCCUAUUCAAGAUGGAGACGCCCUGGUUCAGACGCCUCUGACAGAUGCUCCAAGAUGAUGUGAAGCAAAUUUCACGACUAACGAUGGCCCGAAGGCUCCUUCCCUCCACGGGAUUCUGCUCCAGCCACAGCAGAGACUAUUUUGCACACCUUCCAGACAUUGCUGCCCCAUUCCAGUGUCUCAAUAUCAAGUUGCAAUAGAAGCUUGCUGUUAGUGGAUCUGCACUUUAAAAUGGUACUUAAUAUGAAUACAUAAUCAGAAGGGAUUUUUUUACUUGUUUUGUGAAAAUGAACUGCAAGUCAACUAAGAUAUUUAAAACAAGGAAAAAGAAAGUCUUCUUCUACAGUGCCUCCAGGCAGAUACAAGUGCCCUUCUUGUCUCAUGGACUCAAUCAGGAGAUAUGAAGAUUGACAACUGAUUGGCAAAAGUGAAGUCACUGUGUGACCUGUCCUGAAAAGAUGGUGGCUGCAUCUAGAAACAGUGACGUGUUUGGGGAACAAUGGAGUAGAGUCAGAGACGCACCUACUAAGACAUUUUGGCUGCUGGGCACCUGAACAUGAGCAAUGUGAAGCUUCCGGUGCGUGUUUCCAUAGAGAGUUUUCUGAUAAUGUGUCAGUUAUUUUUAGCCACAAAACACUAUAAGACAACUGAGCAUGCUUUUCAGUGGCUAACAACUAUAAGCAUUAAUUUUGCUCAUGCACUAAGGGAUGACUGAGCCCUUCUGCUGGCCUGGGCCACGCCUAACUGAUUGCAGCUGGGCUAGCUCUUGCAUCAGCUGGUGGAUUGGCCUGGGGCAGGCUGGCCUGGGGUAGCUUUGGUUGGGAUGAUUUUUUUCUGCUCUGUGGUCUUUCAUCUUGUGAUAGGCUAGUCUCGGCUUUUCCUACAGUGGAGGCAGGGGUCUGAGGGAAGAAGUGGAAACACUUGAGGCCUGGGAGGCCUACUCUGAUAAUAAGCCAAGUCACCUCUGCUGCAUUCUAUUGGUUAGAGCAAGCCACAGCUCAGCCCAGACACAAGAGUUGGGCAACACCCUCUACUUCUUGAUGAGAGGAGCUAACAUGUAACUUUGCAAAUGGAAUAAAUAUAGAAAAAGGUGAAAA
ensembl:lncRNA novel transcript